GUGGGGAAUAUUGGACAAUGGGCGAAAGCCUGAUCCAGCCAUGCCGCGUGUGUGAAGAAGGUCUUCGGAUUGUAAAGCACUUUAAGUUGGGAGGAAGGGCAGUAAGUUAAUACCUUGCUGUUUUGACGUUACCGACAGAAUAAGCACCGGCUAACUUCGUGCCAGCAGCCGCGGUAAUACGAAGGGUGCAAGCGUUAAUCGGAAUUACUGGGCGUAAAGCGCGCGUAGGUGGUUUUGUAAGUUGGAGGUGAAAUCCCCGGGCUCAACCUGUGAACUGCCUCCAAAACUGCAUGACUAGAGGACGGUAGAGGGUAGUGGAAUUUCCUGUGUAGCGGUGAAAUGCGUAGAUAUAGGAAGGAACACCAGUGGCGAAGGCGACUACCUGGACUGAUACUGACACUGAGGUGCGAAAGCGUGGGGAGCAAACAGGAUUAGAUACCCGAGUAGUCC
rnacentral:rRNA from 1 species